UGGGCUUCGCUGAGGUUGCUAGGUAACGGGCCUGGGCUUCGCUGAGGUUGCUAGGUAACGGGCCUGGGCUUCGGUGAGGUUGCUGGGUAACGGCGGAGGGCACGUCGAAUGUGACUUUACUAUUAGCACGUUUUUAAAACGGCCCGUUGGUGGCAGCAGGAACGAAGAUAAGACAUUUUUCCACAUGUAGGUGAAAUAAUCUGCCGGUGGAACAAGUAUUUUUCAACAAUGGUUUGAGCAUGGGAGGAGAGACGUCCCGAGUUCCUCUACGCCGAAGCAGGAUAACGAUCCGAAGUGCACUAAUAAAGGAUUCUUGCAGCAUUGUUAUCCUAGUCUGAGCCGAAGCUCUGGUGAAGAAAAAUGGAUUCAACUUGUGUUUAAAAUAGAGCAGGAGAAGACUCAGCCUCUUCGGUGAGAUUAAACAGCUUGAGCAAUGAUUUGUUGCAGACUGGUUGGAUGGAGCGGAUCCUGGAAGAGCGCUCUGCAGGCUGUCAGGAAACGACGCGGACCCUAACUCUGGUUCCUGCUGUCAUUUCCUCCAGGCCACAGCUUCACCUUCAUCUGUUUGCUCUUCCAGCUGCUGGUGCAAAAGUUUUCUACAUCAAGUUUAAAGCUAAUCUGGUUUCAUUCGAUGCAUUCGUUCUUCCAGUUUGGAAAGUAAAGUUGAGCCUCAGUGGCGCCACCAAGGGCAGUGUAUCUUUAAACACAACAGUAACUUACUCAAUAGUCAGCUCAU